rnacentral:rRNA from 1 species
UACGAAGGGGGCUAGCGUUGCUCGGAAUCACUGGGCGUAAAGCGCACGUAGGCGGGUUGUUAAGUCGGGGGUGAAAUCCUGGAGCUCAACUCCAGAACUGCCUUCGAUACUGGCGACCUUGAGUCCGGGAGAGGUGAGUGGAACUCCGAGUGUAGAGGUGAAAUUCGUAGAUAUUCGGAAGAACACCAGUGGCGAAGGCGGCUCACUGGCCCGGUACUGACGCUGAGGUGCGAAAGGCGUGGGGAGCGAACAGG